rnacentral:rRNA from 1 species
CGUAGGGUAACCUGCCCAAGAGAUCGGGAUAACACCUGGAAACAGAUGCUAAUACCGGAUAACAACAGAUGAUGCCUAUCAACUGUUUAAAAGAUGGUUCUGCUAUAACUCUUGGAUGGACCUGCGGUGCAUUAGCUAGUUGGUAGGGUAACGGCCUACCAAGGCGAUGAUGCAUAGUCGAGUUGAGAGACUGAUCGGCCACAUUGGGACUGAGACACGGCCCAAACUCCUACGGGAGGCAGCAGUU